rnacentral:rRNA from 1 species
AUUGAACGCUGGCGGCAGGCCUAACACAUGCAAGUCGAGCGGAGCGGCGGACGGGUGCGUAAUGCCUAGGAAUCUGCAUGGUAGUGGGGGAUAACGUCCGGAAACGGGCGCUAAUACCGCAUACUAUCCGAUGAGCCUAGGUCGGAUUAGGUAGUUGGUGGGGUAAAGGCCUACCAAGGCGACGAUCCGUAACUGGUCUGGGAGGAUGAUCCGUCACACUGGAACUGGUACACGGUCCAGACUCCUACGGGAGGCAGCAGUGGGGAAUAUUGGACAAUGGGCGAAAGCCUGAUGCAGCGACGCCGCGUGGGGGAUGAAGGGUUUCGGGUUGUAAACCUCUUUCGCGAUCGAACGGGUAGGUGGAGAAGAAGCGCCGGCUAACUACGUGCCAGCAGCCGCGGUAAUUC